rnacentral:rRNA from 1 species
UACGUAGGGUGCAAGCGUUGUCCGGAAUUAUUGGGCGUAAAGAGCGUGUAGGCGGCCAGGUAGGUCCGUUGUGAAAACUCGAGGCUCAACCUCGAGACGCCGAUGGAAACCAUCUGGCUAGAGUCCGGAAGAGGAGAGUGGAAUUCCCGGUGUAGCGGUGAAAUGCGCAGAUAUCGGGAAGAACCCCCGUGGCUAAGGCGGCUCUCUAGUACGGUACUGACGCUGAGACGCGAAAGCGUGGGGAGCGAACAGG